UACGGGGGGGGCAAGCGUUGUUCGGAAUUACUGGGCGUAAAGGGCUCGUAGGCGGCCAACUAAGUCAGACGUGAAAUCCCUCGGCUUAACCGGGGAACUGCGUCUGAUACUGGAUGGCUUGAGUUUGGGAGAGGGAUGCGGAAUUCCAGGUGUAGCGGUGAAAUGCGUAGAUAUCUGGAGGAACACCGGUGGCGAAGGCGGCAUCCUGGACCAACACUGACGCUGAGUGAGUGAAAGCCAGGGGAGCAAACGGG
rnacentral:rRNA from 1 species